rnacentral:rRNA from 1 species
GACGAGGCACUACGGUGCUGAAGCAACAAAUGCCCUGCUUCCAGGAAAAGCCUCUAAGCAUCAGGUAACAUCAAAUCGUACCCCAAACCGACACAGGUGGUCAGGUAGAGAAUACCAAGGCGCUUGAGAGAACUCGGGUGAAGGAACUAGGCAAAAUGGUGCCGUAACUUCGGGAGAAGGCACGCUGACACGUAGGUGAAGUGAUUUACUCAUGGAGCUGAAGUCAGUCGAAGAUACCAGCUGGCUGCAACUGUUUAUUAAAAACACAGCACUGUGCAAACACGAAAGUGGACGUAUACGGUGUGACGCCUGCCCGGUGCCGGAAGGUUAAUUGAUGGGGUCAGCGCAAGCGAAGCUCCUGAUCGAAGCCCCGGUAAACGGCGGCCGUAACUAUAACGGUCCUAAGGUAGCGAAAUUCCUUGUCGGGUAAGUUCCGACCUGCACGAAUGGCGUAAUGAUGGCCAGGCUGUCUCCACCCGAGACUCAGUGAAAUUGAACUCGCUGUGAAGAUGCAGUGUACCCGCGGCAAGACGGAAAGACCCCGUGAACCUUUACUAUAGCUUGACACUGAACAUUGAGCCUUGAUGUGUAGGAUAGGUGGGAGGCUUUGAAGUGUGGACGCCAGUCUGCAUGGAGCCGGCCUUGAAAUACCACCCUUUAAUGUUUGAUGUUCUAACGUGGACCCGUGAUCCGGGUUGCGGACAGUGUCUGGUGGGUAGUUUGACUGGGGCGGUCUCCUCCUAAAGAGUAACGGAGGAGCACGAAGGUUGGCUAAUCCUGGUCGGACAUCAGGAGGUUAGUGCAAUGGCAUAAGCCAGCUUGACUGCGAGCGUGACGGCGCGAGCAGGUGCGAAAGCAGGUCAUAGUGAUCCGGUGGUUCUGAAUGGAAGGGCCAUCGCUCAACGGAUAAAAGGUACUCCGGGGAUAACAGGCUGAUACCGCCCAAGAGUUCAUAUCGACGGCGGUGUUUGGCACCUCGAUGUCGGCUCAUCACAUCCUGGGGCUGAAGUAGGUCCCAAGGGUAUGGCUGUUCGCCAUUUAAAGUGGUACGCGAGCUGGGUUUAGAACGUCGUGAGACAGUUCGGUCCCUAUCUGCCGUGGGCGCUGGAGAACUGAGGGGGGCUGCUCCUAGUACGAGAGGACCGGAGUGGACGCAUCACUGGUGUUCGGGUUGUCAUGCCAAUGGCACUGCCCGGUAGCUAAAUGCGGAAGAGAUAAGUGCUGAAAGCAUCUAAGCACGAAACUUGCCCCGAGAUGAGUUCUCCCUGAGACUUAGAGUCUCCUGAAGGAACGUUGAAGACGACGACGUUGAUAGGCCGGGUGUGUAAGCGCAGCGAUGCGUUGAGCUAACCGGUACUAAUGAACCGUGAGGCUUAACCUUACAACGCCGAAG